rnacentral:rRNA from 1 species
GACGAACGCUGGCGGCGUGCUUAACACAUGCAAGUCGAACGGAAAGGCCCUGCUUUUGUGGGGUGCUCGAGUGGCGAACGGGUGAGUAUCACGUGAGUAACCUGCCCUUGACUUUGGGAUAACUUCAGGAAACUGGGGCUAAUACCGGAUAGGAGCUCCUGAUGCAUGGUGGGGGUUGGAAAGUUUCGGCGGUUGGGGAUGGACUCGCGGCUUAUCAGCUUGUUGGUGGGGUAGUGGCUUACCAAGGCUUUGACGGGUAGCCGGCCUGAGAGGGUGACCGGCCACAUUGGGACUGAGGUACGGCCCAGACUCCUACGGGAGGCAGCAGUGGGGAAUAUUGCACAAUGGGCGGAAGCCUGAUGCAGCAACGCCGCGUGCGGGAUGACGGCCUUCGGGUUGUAAACCGCUUUCGCCUGUGACGAAGCGUGAGUGACGGUAAUGGGUAAAGAAGCACCGGCUAACUACGUG